rnacentral:lncRNA from 1 species
CACUGUUGGUUGGCUUGCAGUGUUUGUGGAGCAUAUGAGAUAGAGUUUGCAAAACAAAUGGCUGCUGGAUUGAUGCAAAUAAUCAUGAUAUCAUUCUGUAGCUAGUUCAUUGAUAGAGAAGGUUUUUGGGAAAGUCUUUCCAUCUACCAGAAGACGGUUAGGUCAAUCAUUAGCAUCGCUAUGUUUUUCCUGUUCCUGAAUUGUUUGAAACCAGGACGUUUUACUUCAUAUCAUGAGUAAGUUGCUUUAAUCGCCGGUGUGGGUGGUGACCUUUGUGGUCAUUUUCCCAAUCCUCUAUUUCAACUACGGCAAGGAAGUCCAUGAAAACACCAACAACAACCACACAAGCAAAAUGGCCUCCAAUGACUCUCACUGUUUCCAGGUCGGCAGCCACCUGAAAAAUCACUCUGGCGUGAAAAAGCUGAACUACAUCAUGAGCUCUGUGAUCGUCAUCGUGGCCUGUGUGCAGACGGCACUGCAUUGUCACGUCAUGGCCUUCUGACCAGGAAGUACGGGCUAGACUGCAUGUUUCACCAGGAAUUCUGGGCUCAGCUGAAGAGCUUGUGUUUUGAUGUGGUGCUGCUGGUGUGUUACAUGUCCUAUUACAUGUUCAGGAAUUACUACCUGGAACACCUGCAGCAGCUGGAGCACACUAACGAGGAGUUCCUCAGUCUCACGGCCCUCAGCUGUCUCGACAUGUUUACUUUCCUAAGGAGCGGACAUUGCUAUAUGUGUGACCUCUUCUCACAUUACCUAAACUAUGAACUCAGAGCCAAAACCUCGCUGUAAUAUUACUUACCUUUUAAACAGUACUUUAGCACCAUCUGCUUGUUUAUAUUGCUACACAACAUAGUCUACUGUACUGUAGGUCUAUUGCAGUUUGACUAUAUUGGACUAAAAUGUAUUUUGUCUCAUAUUGGAAUUUAAAAUACAGUAAGUUGUGCCAAUGACAUUUCUCUCAAUAUGUCGAUUUCAAUCUUUGAAAAAACUUUGUGUAAGGCUACAGAGUAUGUAAAUAUUGUAAUAAAUAAAUAAAUGGUUAAAAUGUUA